rnacentral:rRNA from 1 species
UACGUAGGGUGCGAGCGUUGUCCGGAAUUACUGGGCGUAAAGAGCUCGUAGGCGGUGUGUCGCGUCGGCCGUGAAAACCUGCAGCUUAACUGUGGGCUUGCGGUCGAUACGGGCAUCACUGGAGUUCGGCAGGGGAGACUGGAAUUCCUGGUGUAGCGGUGAAAUGCGCAGAUAUCAGGAGGAACACCUAUGGCGAAGGCAGCUCGCUGGGACGGUACUGACGCUGAGGCGCGAAAGCGUGGGGAGCGAACAGG